CCUACGGGUGGCAGCAGUAGGGAAUUUUCGGCAAUGGGGGGAACCCUGACCGAGCAACGCCGCGUGAACGAAGAAGUUAUUCGUAAUGUAAAGUUCUUUUAACAGGGAAGAAAGAGAAAUUGUACCUUACCUGAAGAAUAAGCUCCGGUUAACUACGUGCCAGCAGCCGCUGUAAUACGUAGGGAGCGAGCGUGAUCCGGAAGUAUUGGGCGUAAAGGGGGCGUAGAUGGCAUGGUAAGUCUUUUGUAAAAGUGCGGGGCUCAACCCAGUAGGGCAAAAGAUACUGCGAAGCUAGAGUAUGAGAGAGGCACGCGGAAGUACAUGUGUAGCGGUGAAAUGCGUAAAUAUAUGGAAGAACACCAGGGGCGAAGGCGGCUUGCUGGGUCGAUACUGACAUUGAGGCACGAAAGCGUGGGGAGCAAACAGGAUUAGAUACCCUGGUAGUC
rnacentral:rRNA from 1 species